AGGAAUAUUGGGCAAUGGAGGCAACUCUGGCCCAGCCAUGCCGCGUGAGUGAGAAGAUUUUCGAAUUGUAAAGCUCUUUCGGGUGUGAAGAUGAUGACGGUAACACCAGAAGAGGCCCCGGCAAACUUCGUGCCAGCAGCCGCGGUAAUACGAAGGGGGCGAGCGUUGUUCGGAAUUACUGGGCGUAAAGGGUGUGUAGGCGGUUAAGUAAGAUAGUGGUGAAAUGCCGGGGCUCAACCUCGGAAUUGCCAUUAUGACUAUUUAGCUAGAAUGAUGCAGAGGAUAGCGGAAUACCCAGUGUAGAGGUGAAAUUCGUAGAUAUUGGGUAGAACACCAGAGGCGAAGGCGGCUAUCUGGGCAUUGAUUGACGCUGAGGCACGAAAGCAUGGGGAUCAAACAGGAUUAGAUACCCUGGUAGUCCAUGCUGUAAACGAUGAAUGCUAGUUGUUGGAGGAAUUCAGUGACGCAGUUAACACAAUAAGCAUUCCGCCUGGGGAGUACGGUCGCAAGAUUAAAACUCAAAGGAAUUGACGGGGACCCGCACAAGCGGUGGAGCAUGUGGUUUAAUUCGAUGCAACGCGAAGAACCUUACCAACUCUUGACAUCCUCAUUAGGGAGGGGAGAGAUUCCCUCUUUCAGUUAGGCUGGGUGAGUGACAGAUGCUGCAUGGCUGUCGUCAGCUCGUGUCGUGAGAUGUUGGGUUAAGUCCCGCAACGAGCGCAACCCCUGCUAUCAGUUGCCAUCAGGUAGAGCUGGGCACUCUGAUAGGACUGCCGGUGACAAGCCGGAGGAAGGUGGGGAUGACGUCAAGUCAUCAUGGCUCUUACGAGUUGGGCUACACACGUGCUACAAUGGCAGCUACAGAGAGGAGCGAAGCUGUGAAGCGGAGCCAAUCUUAAAAAGCUGUCUCAGUUCGGAUUGUUCUCUGCAACUCGAGAACAUGAAGUUGGAAUCGCUAGUAAUCGCGGAUCAGCAUGCCGCGGUGAAUACGUUCCCG
rnacentral:rRNA from 1 species